GUGGGGAAUAUUGGACAAUGGGCGAAAGCCUGAUCCAGCCAUGCCGCGUGUGUGAAGAAGGUCUUCGGAUUGUAAAGCACUUUAAGUUGGGAGGAAGGGCAGUAAGUUAAUACCUUGCUGUUUUGACGUUACCGACAGAAUAAGCACCGGCUAACUUCGUGCCAGCAGCCGCGGUAAUACGAAGGGUGCAAGCGUUAAUCGGAAUUACUGGGCGUAAAGCGCGCGUAGGUGGUUUUGUAAGUUGGCGGUGAAAUCCCCAGGCUCAACCUGGGAACUGCCUCCAAAACUGCAUGACUAGAGUACUGUAGAGGGUAGUGGAAUUUCCUGUGUAGCGGUGAAAUGCGUAGAUAUAGGAAGGAACACCAGUGGCGAAGGCGACUACCUGGACUGAUACUGACACUGAGGUGCGAAAGCGUGGGGAGCAAACAGGAUUAGAUACCCCUGUAGUCC
rnacentral:rRNA from 1 species